UGGCUGAGUGGUGAAGCGCUUGACUUCUGAACAAGAAAGCCCCUGGUUCGAAUCUAGG
rnacentral:tRNA from 1 species